rnacentral:lncRNA from 1 species
AGGAUCAACACUCGAGCCAGUGAAGGCAGUGGGCGUGCAGGCAGCUGCGGCAGCCCGGAGAUCCCACCUUUCUCCCGCUCUCCUCUGUACACUGCCGUUAACACGCUGGCAGUGCUGGCGAUCCGGCUGCAGCUGCUGCUGCUACUGCUGGUCAGUAUUUACCACCAGACAGUCGUUUAUCUCCCGCGUUCAGCUUAUUGUUUUUAUUUCCGGGAAGAAAACGCAAAAAAAAAAAAAAAAAAAAAAAAAAAAAAAAAAAAAAAAAAAAAAAAACCCCCCCCCCCCCCCCCCCCCCCCCCCCCCCCCCCCCCCCCCCCCCCCCCCCCCCCCCCCCCCAAAGUACCUUCGGCCAUUUUCUUGACACCUAGAGCUGCAGGUUUGUCCGUGCUCGGACUUUCUUGGGGAGCUGAAGCGUUGCUGAUCUUUCCCUGAGCCCAGUAACUGCAAAACCCACAGCAAAGUAGGUCGUGGGUCCCAUGGGCAGAGCCCCUGGCUCCUUUUCCCGUGCUUGUCCCUCUGAUAGUGGCCCUGUGCUACCCCGGGACACGAUUAACCCUUCCCGUGGCCCUGGAACUGUCACCGAGGGCUGCGCUCGCUGAGUCCCUCCGUUUCGUGCCGCCUGGCCGGCACGGGGGACGAGCUUCGCCCUAGGGCGGCCCGGGGGACAGGUGGGAUGAGUACCCGCGGAGGGGCUGUGGCAGAGCCGGCACAGUUCUGGCGCUGUGUUGGGACAGUUCACGACAGCUCACUGGGAAAGUCUGGGACGGCGCUGGACAGUCUGUGACUGUGGUCGGGACAGCUGGGGCGCUGCUCGGAUAGUCGGGUACAGUACUGGAACAGUUGGGGUAGUGCUGGGAUAUCAUGGAGCGGUGCUGGGACUAAGCUGGGUCACACUGGAACUGCCCUGGCACCAUUCGA